CCCCGUCUCUGUCAUUGUUGCUUUGCCUGCUGUGGAGUACUUACCAUACCACCGCAGCCCUCGCCUGGCCCCAAUCACCAACCUGAGUGAGAACGGCAGGAAGCUGCUCCAGAAAAUGUCAGGAGUGACCCCACAGGAAGGGAAGGUCAAAAGGAAAAAGAGCAAGGGAAAAAAGCAAGUGAAGAAAGAGAAGGCCAGCAAGAUGCAGCAGGUGGAAAAUGUUGGAGAAAGUAAGGAGGACAAGAAAGAGGAAAAGAAGAGUCUGAGGAAGAGGUUUCUCCAGUGGCUGCUGCCCAAACUGAGAUGUUCGAAGAAAUAAUGGCCUACUACUACAACACACACACACACACACACUCGAACUUCAGAGCUAUAGCGGCUUAUAACCACACUGACAUAAUAAAAUGUAAAAAAACGUUAUUAGUUAUACCAUGAGUUGACGUUUUUACAAGGAUUGUGAUUGCUGAAAAUAGCGCGCUUGAAAUGUAAAGGUAAUUUCCAGUCUUCGAGAACAUUGCCUUUGAAUUUCAAUCGAGCUAUAGCGAGU
rnacentral:lncRNA from 1 species